rnacentral:rRNA from 1 species
UACGGAGGGGGCGAGCGUUGUCCGAAUUUAUUGGGCGUAAAGCGCGUGUAGGCGGAUAUCCAAGCCUGAGGUGAAAGGUCGGGGCUCAACCCCGUACAGUGCCUUGGGGACUGGGUGUCUGGAGGCAGGCAGAGGAGUGUGGAAGUUCCUGGUGGUAGCGGUGAAAUGCGUAGAUAUCAGGAGGAACACCUGUGGUGUAGACAGCUUACUGGACCAUUUCUGACGCUGAGACACGAAAGCGUGGGUAGCAAACAGG